GGUUUGAUUAUCAACAACGUAGCGACGCAAUGAUCGACUCAGUGUAUACAGGUGUAGCGAGGAAAGGCGGUCGACUCUCGUACCUCGCUUAGCAUUGGGGUCCUGAGUCGUUUUGGAGGUCGCCUCAGGUCGCUACUCGCCAUGGCGAGCGAAGCGGUCGCCUUUUAAAACCAAGCUUGCAACUUAAUUUCUUUUUGUACUGAAUCUGUCUUUUAUAUACAAAACACUGUGAAAGCCAGAGAUUAGAAAAGUAUCAAAACAAACUUUAUCACAAUUGCUUUUAGAUCUCGGAAUUUUUAAUGAUGCAUAGUCUCUCAAAGGUCAAAUGAAAAUUCAGCAAAGAUUAGCUUCUUUCCUCUUAUUGGCUUCAGUCCUCCUCUCUAGCUCCACGAUCUCAGGUUCUUCUAUGUGUGAGUCAGCAGGAACGUGUGGCUUCUUCAAACCAGAUACACUUGUGCUUUCUUCUCUGAUGCGGGCUUGUACGUCAGCAGCUUCGUUGAGCAGUGAAUUAUACUCUUCUUCAAACUCAGAUUCAUCCAUAACAUCAUCCCUACAAAACAAAACAAAGCAAAGCAUCAGAAGCAAAACAGAGUAAAAUUAGUGUGUUUACAAAUGCCUUACAUCUUCUUAAGUUCCUCUUUUGUUGCAACCGGUCUUUGUGCCUCAGUUUUCGCUGAUGUUGUAAGUGCAUGCAGUGGUUUGGAGUGCUCUCUGAUGCCUUCACGUAACUCAGCAGCUUCGUUGAUUAGUGAAGCAUAUUCAUUCUCAAGCUCAGAGUCAUCAUCAGCCACCAUGUGGUUUAUUUCCUGGUUCAUGUCCCCGAGAGCUUCUUUCUGAUCUUCCAGCUGAUCCAUUAGCUUUGGGACAUCAUUCCUACAAAACAAAAGAAACGAUCAGAAGCGAAACAAAGUACAAUUUCAGUUUUCAAAAACCUUACAUCUUCUUGAGUUGCCCUGUCAUAGUCGAUGCAACCAGCUUCUGUACCUAAACUGUCUCUCUGAUGUUGUACGUGACUUUUCUAGUUCGAUUUUACUAUUUUGAAGUGAGAGUACUUCGUCGCUCAACAUGUCGGACUGUUUAGUCAGCUUGCGCUUCAGUUUCAGUGCAUUCAUUGCCUGAGUCUUUGAUGUGAGCGCUACACGUCUCGCUUUUUCUGCAGCAGCUUUUACUUGCGCAUCGAUCUCAUCAAUCUUUUCCAGGUGAUUAUCGAUGGUCUCUUGGAGACUAGUAAUCGUCUUCUGAGGAUCAGCUUGCGGAUGAGGAUAGGCUUUUUCUUCUAUCAGUGGAGGAGGAUGACGCAGAUCAGUGCAUCCGCCUACUUUCAUUUUGCAAGAGGCAUCGACAAAUAUCAAAUAAACACCUAGAAACAGAGUAUAUGAUCAGACCUGUUCAUAAUACUGCUAAGUAUGUCCCACCUCCUAAUCCAUCUGGGUGUGCUCGCACUGAGCCUUGUAACUAUUUUGGAAGAAGAGGAGGAAAAGAACCCGAAGCUCUUGCUGGUAUAUUGUUGGUGGGAUACUCUCGACAUGAAUUUUCAACGUAACAUGGAUCAAAGGUGUCUCAGAUAAUUACUCCAAGCAAGAUUUUAUCAAUGGCCGAGAAGUAUAGAUACACGAAGGAAACGAAACAUACAGAAGAGAUAAGCAUUUGGUAAGCAUUUUAACUAGCAAUCCUAAAAGAUCAAAAUUAGUGGAACUUUGUAAGAAGAUAAAACUGGUAGUUUUUGUUUCUUGAACUCUCGGGAUGUUUGGUGCAUUUCUGUGAUUGGUCUCUGAAUAUCGUAAUCGUUUCUACUGAUUAUGGAUUAGAUGAAAACGUUUCCCAU